rnacentral:rRNA from 1 species
UCGCCUGUUUUUCAAAAACAUCGCUAAGAAAUAACUCUUAGUAGAACCUGCCCAGUGAAAUUAUUCAACGGCCGCAGUACCCUAACUGUGCUAAGGUAGCAUAAUCAUUAGUCUCUUAAUUAGAGACUCGUAUGAACGGUCUGACGAGAGACUUCCUGUUUCAGUAUUUCUCUGAACUUAUGUGAAAGGUGAAAACCCCUUUCGGCUUUAGAAGGACGACAAGACCCUGUAAAACUUUACUCUACACUAAUUACUUUCCUUAGAACUUAUUUAAUUACUAAGAGUUCUGCUGGGGCGGUAAAUUUUAACACAAACAAUUUCCCUUAAAACACUCUGAUUGACUUUAAUAAACAAUCCUCCAUAAUCAAGAACAAGUUACUUCAGGGAUAACAGCGUUAUUCUUCUAGAGAGCCCAUAUCGACAGAAAUUUUUACGACCUCGAUGUUGAAUUGAGAAUCCAGGAUAAAGCAGCCCUUAUCCUUAGGAAGUCUGUUCGACUUUUAAACCCUCACAUGAUCUGAGUUCCAAACCGGA